rnacentral:rRNA from 1 species
AUUGAACGCUGGCGGCAGGCCUAACACAUGCAAGUCGAGCGGAUGAAGGGAGCUUGCUCCUGGAUUCAGCGGCGGACGGGUGAGUAAUGCCUGGGAAUCUGCCUGGUAGUGGGGGAUAACGUCCGGAAACGGGCGCUAAUACCGCAUACGUCCUGAGGGAGAAAGUGGGGGAUCUUCGGACCUCACGCUAUCAGAUGAGCCUAGGUCGGAUUAGCUAGUUGGUGGGGUAAAGGCCUACCAAGGCGACGAUCCGUAACUGGUCUGAGAGGAUGAUCAGUCACACUGGAACUGAGACACGGUCCAGACUCCUACGGGAGGCAGCAGUGGGGAAUAUUGGACAAUGGGCGAAAGCCUGAUCCAGCCAAGCCGCGUGUGUGAAGAAGGUCUUCGGAUUGUAAAGCACUUUAAGUUGGGAGGAAGGGCAGUAAGUUAAUACCUUGCUGUUUUGACGUUACCAACAGAAUAAGCACCGGCUAACUUCGUG